rnacentral:rRNA from 1 species
GACGAACGCUGGCGGCGUGCCUAAUACAUGCAAGUAGAACGAGUUGCGAACGGGUGAGUAACGCGUGGUAACCUGCUUCAUAGCGGGGGAUAACUAUUGGAAACGAUAGCUCAUACCGCAUACUUUGAGAUGGACCUGCGUUGUAUUAGCUAGUUGGGAAGGUAAAUGCUCACCAAGGCGACGAUACAUAGCCGACCUGAGAGGGUGACCAGCCACACUGGAACUGAGACACGGUCCAGACUCCUACGGGAGGCAGCAGUGGGGAGUAUUGCACAAUGGGCGCAAGCCUGAUGCAGCCAUGCCGCGGGUAUGAAGAAGGCCUUCGGGUUGUAAAGUACUUUCAGCGGGGAGGCGUUACCCGCAGGAGAAGCACCGGCUAACUCCGUGCCAGCAGCCGCGGUAAUAC